rnacentral:rRNA from 1 species
CAGUCGCCGCGGGAAAACGAAGGGUGCAAGCGUUAAUCGGAAUUACUGGGCGUAAAGCGUGCGUAGGCGGCUUGGUAAGUUAGAGGUGAAAGCCCGGAGCUCAACUCCGGAAUUGCCUUUAAGACUGCCGAGCUAGCAGGUGAGAGAGGUAAGUGGAAUUCCGAGUGUAGAGGUGAAAUUCGUAGAUAUUCGGAAGAACACCAGUGGCGAAGGCGGCUUACUGGCUCAUACUGGACGCUGAGGUGCGAAAGCGUGGGGAGCAAACAGGAUUAGAUACCCCCGUAGUCCCUGUCUCUUAUAC